UUAAUCCGUUUUAAGUGUUUUCAAUACUACAAAAAAAAAAACAAAAAACAAAGAUUCCUAACGAGAAUAAAUGAUAAAUGUUAUUUUUAAAAGGAAAAUAAUCACAGCCACCAGUGGGAAGAGAGUCAGUGGAUGGAUCCUGGGCAUGACCUUGCUCCUUAGUGACCCCAUGACCGUCCCCCUGGAGUGUCUGGUACAGGGCUCCAGAGGAAGUUGGACAGAACCAUAAAUGGCCAGGAUGUGACUUAGAUGCUCAGAAGUGUGUCACUUGUGCAGUCCUUACACAUCACUAAGAA
rnacentral:lncRNA from 12 species